GCCGUGUGACUCAGCUGGUUGAAGAGGGUUGUCUUAUAAACAACUAUUGAUGGGUUCAAUUCCCAUACACGGUACUA
rnacentral:tRNA from 1 species